rnacentral:rRNA from 1 species
GACGAACGCUGGCGGCGUGCCUAAUACAUGCAAGUAGAACGCUGAAGGAGGAGCUUGCUUCUCCGGAUGAGUUGCGAACGGGUGAGUAACGCGUAGGUAACCUGCCUGGUAGCGGGGGAUAACUAUUGGAAACGAUAGCUAAUACCGCAUAAGAGUAGAUGUCGCAUGACAUUUGCUUAAAAGGUGCAACUGCACCACUACCAGAUGGACCUGCGUUGUAUUAGCUAGUUGGUGAGGUAACGGCUCACCAAGGCAACGAUACAUAGCCGACCUGAGAGGGUGAUCGGCCACACUGGGACUGAGACACGGCCCAGACUCCUACGGGAGGCAGCAGUAGGGAAUCUUCGGCAAUGGACGGAAGUCUGACCGAGCAACGCCGCGUGAGUGAAGAAGGGUUUCGGAUCGUAAAGCUCUGUUGUAAGAGAAGAACGAGUGUGAGAGUGGAAAGUUCACACUGUGACGGUAUCUUAACAGAAAGGGACGGCUAACUACGUG